rnacentral:rRNA from 1 species
GAAGAGAAAGAAAUUCGAUUCCGUAAGUAGCGGCGAGCGAACGCGGAUUAGCCCAAACCAAUAAAGUUUUCUUUAUUGGGGUUGCGGACAUAUCAUAACGAAGAGGUAUCGUAAUUGAAGAGGUUUG